GCCUCCAUAGCUCAACUGGAUAGAGCACGGGUUUCCUAAACCUGUUACCCAAGUUCGACUCUUGGUGGGGGUA
rnacentral:tRNA from 1 species